rnacentral:rRNA from 1 species
GUGGGGAAUAUUGGACAAUGGGGGGAACCCUGAUCCAGCCAUGCCGCGUGUGUGAAGAAGGCCUUUUGGUUGUAAAGCACUUUAAGCGAGGAGGAGGCUACCGAGAUUAAUACUCUUGGAUAGUGGACGUUACUCGCAGAAUAAGCACCGGCUAACUCUGUGCCAGCAGCCGCGGUAAUACAGAGGGUGCAAGCGUUAAUCGGAUUUACUGGGCGUAAAGCGCGCGUAGGUGGCCAAUUAAGUCAAAUGUGAAAUCCCCGAGCUUAACUUGGGAAUUGCAUUCGAUACUGGUUGGCUAGAGUAUGGGAGAGGAUGGUAGAAUUCCAGGUGUAGCGGUGAAAUGCGUAGAGAUCUGGAGGAAUACCGAUGGCGAAGGCAGCCAUCUGGCCUAAUACUGACUCUGAGGUGCGAAAGCAUGGGGAGCAAACAGGAUUAGAUACCCUGGUAGUCC